GACGAACGCUGGCGGCGCGCUUAACACAUGCAAGUCGAGCGAGAACCAGGCCUUCGGGCCUGGGGAAAGCGGCGAACGGGUGAGUAACACGUGGGUAACCUGCCCUCGGCACUGGGAUAGCCCGGGGAAACCCGGAUUAAUACCGGAUAGCCUCCGGAGCCUUCGGGCGCCGGAGAAAGGUGGCUUCGGCAUCCGGCUGAGGAUGGGCCCGCGGCGGAUUAGCUUGUUGGUGGGGUAACGGCCUACCAAGGCGACGAUCCGUAGCUGGUCUGGGAGGACGAUCAGCCACACUGGGACUGAGACACGGCCCAGACUCCCAUGGGAGGCAGCAGUGAGGAAUAUUGCGCAAUGUCCGAAAGGGUGACGCAGCGACGCCGCGUGGAGGAUGAAGGCCCUAUGGGUCGUAAACUCCUUUUGAGGGGGAAGAAUAGUCCGCUACAGGCGGAUUUGACGGUACCCCUAGAAAAAGCACCGGCUAACUACGUGCCAGCAGCCGCCGUAAGAC
rnacentral:rRNA from 1 species